rnacentral:rRNA from 1 species
CACGCCGUAAACGAUGAGUGCUAGGUGUCGGGGGUCAAACCUCGGUGCCGCCGUUAACACAUUAAGCACUCCGCCUGGGGAGUACGUACGCAAGUAUGAAACUCAAAGGAAUUGACGGGGACCCGCACAAGCAGCGGAGCAUGUGGUUUAAUUCGAUGCAACGCGAAGAACCUUACCAGGACUUGACAUCCCUCUGGUCGCUCUAGAGAUAGGGCUUUCUCUUCGGAGACAGAGGUGACAGGUGG